rnacentral:lncRNA from 1 species
UUUCCACGAGACAAGCCUCAUGAGCAAUUUUACCCCAACCCAAUGCAACAAAGGAGUAGGCAAAGAGGAUAGACCAAUAAUGGUAUGAAAACAUAACCUAGUGAGAGGAACUUCGGCCACGACGACCUCGGUUACCUCUUCCUCUGACUGUCUUCCAUUCCAUAUUGUGGUAGUUGAUAGGAGCUUUUGAUUCCCUGCCACCUCUUGUCAAGCUGAACUGUGAAGAAGGCUCAAUUUCAACUUCAUCCUCAUCAUCUCCAAGCACUGCAAAAUGAGAA